GUCGAGCGGAGAGGCCCUUCGGGGUACUCGAGCGGCGNANGGGUGAGUAACACGUGAGUAACCUGCCCUAGGCUUUGGGAUAACCCUCGGAAACGGGGGCUAAUACCGGAUAGUCACUUCUGACGGCAUCGUUGGUGGUGGAAAGUUUUUCGGUCUGGGAUGGGCUCGCGGCCUAUCAGCUUGUUGGUGGGGUGAUGGCCUACCAAGGCGACGACGGGUAGCCGGCCUG
rnacentral:rRNA from 1 species